UUCUAUCGUGCUGAAGGUUGGGAGGCUAUAUGAUGUCUUGAAUUUGGCCGAGACGCCUGGCCAUGGCUACGACCUCUCGGGAGAGCUACUGGUUUACCUCUACAAUCUCUGGCUCCCAUGUUUUUUGUGGUUGUACUAUGCUCCGGCCAUCGAGCCGGGGACGCCUAUUUGAAUUAUGGUGAUGAUGAUCAUCUGGUCACCUAAUUUCUAAAGCUUGUGUCGAAGAAUGUCACACGCUGGCCAGGUUAUUAGAGGUCCUGGUGCUAAUAUUUAGUCUUGGUAAUUGAUGGUUGAAGGAGCUCUUCGGCAUUGGAACCAAAAGAGGGGAGAUCCUAGUGUCGAGGAGGUGGCAGAGGAGACCCACGAUGUGUCCCAGACUCCCAGCAGGCAAAGGGCGUGACCAUGGAAGCUUGUCCCUUUCAAGGGAAGCUGGAAGGCGAAGACCACUUACAGCACUAAUCUGUUCCUUAAUUCUGCUGUAGAGAGAGCAGCAUCUGCGACGAUACCAUCUAUAGGUUGGGAGGCUACAGGAUAUCUUGAAUUUGACGGAGACACCCUGCCUUGGCUACGACCUCUCGGGCUAUUGAGCCAAGCGAGAGCUAGAUUCAGUUGCUGCUACUGGGCUUCUGCUAAACAGGGAGCCAGAAGAGCGUCGAGCCUGCUCGCAGCACAGGCAGGCACAACGGCUGUGAAGCGGGCUCAAGGUCGCCUAUGGCCAUGGAGCGGACAAUCUACAGAUUAUUCAUUCAUCCUUGAAUGAAAACGAACCAGCUGAUGUGUGUACUGUAAAAUCGGUUUGUUUGCUGCUGUUCUGCAGAGAGAGAUGGAAUUGAUCUCUGAUGCGAGCCGUGUUUGAUUUGGACGUGUAAUAUAUUUUCCCAGAAUUGAUUGUGUGCUGUUAUUUGAAUAUUUCCGCUAGUGUGCACAUGGUGUUGUGGCAUUAUUUCUAAAA